AAACUGGAAAUUACAUUGUGCUUAUAGGCCCUAGAGCUCAGGACAGGUAGAAGGAAUGAAUACAACCCUAAAAGAGACCCUUGCCAAAUUAACCAUGGAGACUGGCGGGGACUGGGUGACUCUUCUACUGUACGCCCUUUACCGGGUUAGAAAUACUCCUUACACUCUGGGUUUUACUCCCUACGAGAUCAUGUUUGGCAGCCACCCCCUGUUAUUCCCAGCCUUCGAGCUGAACUUAUUGCUGAGUUUAAAGAUCAAGAACUUUUUCUUUCCUUGAGAGGGCUCCAGAGGGCGCACGAGGACAUUUGGCUGCGCCUCCGUGCCAUCUAUGAGGCUGGCCCGACCCUGACACCUCAUCAGUACAGGCCAGGAGACUGGGUCUACGUCAAGAGGCACCACCGAGAGACUCUCGAACCGCGCUGGAAGGGACCCUACAUCGUGGUGUUGACAACCCCCACCGCUCUCAAAGUAGACGGCAUCGAGACCUGGGUCCAUCACACCCACGCUCGGCCAGCGGACUCCUCCUCGAUCCGGAAGGACGUUGUCACGCGAUGGGCCAUCAGUCGGGACCAACACAGCCCGCUCAAGCUCAAGCUACAGUGCAUUCGACCCACCUAAUAUUGCCUCUGACGGGGGGACCUAUUUCUCUUUGAUCCUACCCUGCAACGAAGGAUGCCCUGGACCCCAAAACCAGUCCUGGCUCUGAACAGAACAGCCAGAAGGACCUCCAUGCCAUUUGCUUCUUGGCUCAGUUCUGUGAUCGGAGGUAUCCAGCAAGAAAGAUGAUAAAACAGAGACAAUGUUCGUAUAAUAAUAAUACACUGGAGUAUUGCUGUGAGAGGAAGGCAAUACGGUAUAAGGAAGAGAUUGUCUGUCUUGAAUAGGAUUCCCUCUUCAGCAGAAGAAGGACAUGGGCCACCAUCCAGAGCAUUAAGUCUGAAAGACACUCUCUUUCCCUCUCUCCAGGAUGGGGCUCUGACCCUGGGAGACAGAAGCCAUGCUAAGGAAGAAGGGUGAGGGCCACCAGUAAUGAAGCAGACUUCAGGGCACCAGUUGUAUGAACUAACAGGUGAUUGCAUGACUAAAAUAAAGGACCAUUUUGCUCCACCUCUGGUCUCUGUGAGUUCAAGAUUGCCUAACAGAGAUUUCUUCUGCUGGUAACAGACGGAAAUUACCCUCCCUCCCACUAGCUAAGAAGGAACCACUGCUCCCAUAAGAACAACUAACAUUAACCGAAGGCUUAUGCAAAGUCCCUGUGCCCUCACAAUACCUGGUAUUUUGCAGGCUUCUGGCUCGAUAAAUUGGAAAAGCCAGUGCCAGCUGCGUGUACGGAAAUACCUUGGAGACGCUGCUGCUAGGGGAGUUCAUGAGCAAGGACCAAAAUAAGGCAGACUAUUUUUUCCUAGGAGUCUUGCCUACCAAGGGGCUGCCUGCUCCGAGCUGACGCUGCUUUGUUAAUUUCUCAGUGACAAGAGCCUGGUGGCUGCCAGGACAAGAUCCUUGGAAGCCCAGAGCUGAAUUAGAAGGCAGCUUUCCCCUUCCAGGCUCUAACGGAAUCGUUGUUCUCUGAGGAUCACCCUUGAACAAGCUCUGAGAGGGGACCGCCGGGCCGUGUGAUUACUCACACUUGUCACAAGUGCGGAAUUUCGCUUGGUGGCAUAACCAGAAGGCCGAUUAGAGGGGGUGCUGAUGACACCUUGAAAGCCUGGGUUGCAGAUGUUUUCAGCUGGCUCUGGGGAUGCCUCCCAUUCCAGAAAUGGCACGGCACACGCUCCUCUCCCUGCACACCGCACCCCGCCCUCCGCCCUCUCCCCAUUACCGCUAAUCACCACCUUGAAGUUUUAUGACUUUACAACCACUGUUUGGUGAGCUACAUCUGAAGGGAGAUAAAUCCUCAAAGCGAAGGCAAUUUGUCAGCGCAAUAUUAAAACGAAGUGUGAAGAAGAAACACUUCAGCAAAAGCCAAGCUCGCUAACCUUUCGAAAGUAAGUGUAUUUAAUUUGAGCUGAAUCAGGAAGACUGUUUGGAUGUCUUAUGUAUUUGUAAGCAUUAUGUGCAGGCUUCAUGUUACCCCAAAGGCUGCUUGUAAUCCUGUCCCCUCUGCAAAAAUGUCUUCUCGAGCUGUAAGCUGGAUUCUGAAUUCUCACUAGUCUGGAGUGCCUGUGUGCUCAACCCACCUUAGGGCCAUUUCCCAAAUAUCACUUCCUAUCUCCAUUUUCCUACCCCUUUCUCAGCCCUUACCACGUCACUCAAAAGGAGGCUGCUAGAUACACCUCAGAGAUGGGAUUUUUAAUAUAACAUCUUAACUCGCCUUCCUGUCUCCAGUUUCCACCUCUCUUGCCAAAAAGAAAUACAAACUAUUCUCCACGUAGUUGUGAAAGUGAUAUUCCAAAAAUAUAUAUCUAUCGCAUUGCUCUCCUGCUUAAAACGUCUAUGGCUCCCUAUUGCCUAUAGAAUCAAGUCCAAACUACUUAUAAUGGAAUUCAUGGUUGUUCUCUAUCUCUACCCACAGCUGUGCUUUUCAUAGCUCCUUUGCCUUCCAUGCCUCUGAUUGGAAUGCUACAACUUUUUAAUCUCAGGGCUGGGGAUGUUCUAGUCAUCCUUCAAACCCCAUGCCAGCACCUCUUUUAGAAUAUCUUUUCUGACUUAUUGUCUGUGUAUUUAAUCAUUUCCUCCUCGCAAUUAUUUCUGUCUCUUGUACAUGCCUGUAUUGGUGCACUUACUGUAUAUUAUAAUUUGUUUAUAUCUCUCUCUUACUUAAUUAUAACUUCUUGCAGGCACAGACUA